AUGUCAUAUUCAAAAUGGCCUAUCAUUCUGAAAAGGAGAAAAUACUCAAUAUCAGUGUGCUUUGUUCUGACUAUAAACAAAAGUCAGGUGCGAUCUCUCAAAAAGGUUGGACUCUACUUAGAAAGGCAAGUGUUCACACAUCGCCAAUUCUAUGUUGCAAUGGCAAGGGUUAGCAGCAGAAAUGGAUUGCAGAUAUCCAUAUCAGAUGAAGAGCGCCCAUCCGAUCCGACAAGGUUGCAAAGAACGUUGAUAUUUGUUUUUUAA
rnacentral:rRNA from 1 species